rnacentral:rRNA from 1 species
AUUGAACGCUGGCGGCAGGCCUAACACAUGCAAGUCGAACGGAGCGGCGGACGGGUGAGUAAUGCCUAGGUAUCUGACUGGUCGUGGGGGGUAACGUCCGGAAACGGGCGCUAAUACCGCACACUUUCAGUUGGACCUAGGUCGGAUGAGCUAGUUGGUGGGGUAAAGUCCUACCACGGCGACGAUCCGUCACUGGUCUGAGAGGAUGAUCAGUCACACGUGAACGGAGACACGGUCCAGACUCCUACGGGAGUCAGCAGUGGGGAAUAUUGGACAAUGGGCGAAAGCCUGAUCCAGCCAUGCCGCGUGGGUGAAGAAGGUCGUCGGAUUGUAAAGCACUGUAAGUUGGGAUGCGUUACCAACAGAAUAAUCACCGGCUAACUUCGUGCCAGCAGCCGCGGUAAUAC